AGAGCAAGACUAGUUUCAAAAAAAAAAAAAAAAAAAAAAAAAGAAGGCUCUCCAACAACAAAGCCAGGCUCUUUUCUCCAGGCUACAUCACUUCUCCAUUUAGAGGUGACUUAGGUCCAGUGUAUGGGGGACUGAGACAUGUAGUGAUAGUGUAGGAAUGUGGAAUUGAUCCAGGAG